rnacentral:rRNA from 1 species
CCUACGGGAGGCAGCAGUGGGGAAUUUUCCGCAAUGGGCGAAAGCCUGACGGAGCAAUACCGCGUGAGGGAUGAAAGCCUGUGGGUUGUAAACCUCUUUUCUCAAGGAAGAAGUUCUGACGGUACUUGAGGAAUAAGCAUCGGCUAACUCUGUGCCAGCAGCCGCGGUAAUACAGAGGAUGCAAGCGUUAUCCGGAAUCACUGGGCAUAAAGCGUCUGUAGGUUGCCUACCAAGUCUGCUGUUAAAGAUCAGGGCCUAACCCUGAGGAAGCAGUGGAAACUAGUAGGCUUGAGUGUGGUAGAGGUAGAGGGAAUUCCUGGUGUAGCGGUGAAAUGCGUAGAUAUUAGGAAGAACACCAAUGGCGAAAGCACUCUACUGGGCCAUAACUGACACUGAGAGACGACAGCUAGGGGAGCAAAUGGGAUUAGAUACCCCAGUAGUCCUAGCCGUAAACGAUAGAUACUAGUAGUGUCACGUACUUAACCGUACGCAGUAUCGUAGUACGUAAGGUACGUUAAGUAGUCCGCCGUCGGAGGUACGCGUCGCGAGAGUAAGUAAACGUACUUAAAGUUAGUAAGUUAGUUACGGUCGUUGAGAGCGACGACGACGACGACGGAGGAGGAG